AUUGCCCUUACUGCUCAGUAACACGUAGUCAACAUGCCCAGGGGACGUGGAUAACCUCGGGAAACUGAGGAUAAACCACGAUAGGUCAUCACUUCUGGAAUGGGUAAUGACUUAAAUCUAUAUGGCCCCUGGAUUGGACUGCGGCCGAUCAGGCUGUUGGUGAGGUAAUGGCCCACCAAACCUGUAACCGGUACGGGCUCUGAGAGGAGGAGCCCGGAGAUGGGCACUGAGACAAGGGCCCAGGCCCUAUGGGGCGCAGCAGGCGCGAAACCUCUGCAAUAGGCGAAAGCUUGACAGGGUUACUCUGAGUGAUUUCCGUUAAGGAGAUCUUUUGGCACCUCUAAAAAUGGUGCAGAAUAAGGGGUGGGCAAGUCUGGUGUCAGCCGCCGCGGUAAUACCAGCACCCCGAGUGGUCGGGACGUUUAUUGGGCCUAAAGCAUCCGUAGCCGGUUCUACAAGUCUUCCGUUAAAUCCACCUGCUUAACAGAUGGGCUGCGGAAGAUACUAUAGAGCUAGGAGGCGGGAGAGGCAAGCGGUACUCGAUGGGUAGGGGUAAAAUCCGUUGAUCCAUUGAAGACCACCAGUGGCGAAGGCGGCUUGCCAGAACGCGCUCGACGGUGAGGGAUGAAAGCUGGGGGAGCAAACCGGAUUAGAUACCCGGGUAGUCCCAGCUGUAAACGAUGCAGACUCGGUGAUGAGUUGGCUUAUUGCUAACUCAGUGCCGCAGGGAAGCCGUUAAGUUUGCCGCCUGGGGAGUACGGUCGCAAGACUGAAACUUAAAGGAAUUGGCGGGGGAGCAC
rnacentral:rRNA from 1 species